UACGUAGGAGGCGAGCGUUGUCCGGAGUUACUGGGCGUAAAGCGUGCGCAGGCGGCUUCGCAAGUCAGACGUGAAAUCCCCGGGCUUAACCUGGGAAUAGCGUUUGAAACUACGGAGCUGGAGUGUGGCAGAGGGAGGUAGAAUUCCACGUGUAGCGGUGAAAUGCGUAGAUAUGUGGAGGAAUACCGAUGGCGAAGGCAGCCUCCUGGGCCAACACUGACGCUCAUGCACGAAAGCGUGGGGAGCAAACAGG
rnacentral:rRNA from 1 species